rnacentral:rRNA from 1 species
GUGUCAGCAGCCGCGGUAAUACAGAGGGUGCGAGCGUUAAUCGGAUUUACUGGGCGUAAAGCGUGCGUAGGCGGCUUUUUAAGUCGGAUGUGAAAUCCCUGAGCUUAACUUAGGAAUUGCAUUCGAUACUGGGAAGCUAGAGUAUGGGAGAGGAUGGUAGAAUUCCAGGUGUAGCGGUGAAAUGCGUAGAGAUCUGGAGGAAUACCGAUGGCGAAGGCAGCCAUCUGGCCUAAUACUGACGCUGAGGUGCGAAAGCAUGGGGAGCAAACAGGAUUAGAAACCCGUGUAGUCC